GGUGCGGUUAGAUACACCAAGUACGGCUCUCCGAUAAGAGAUGAAAAACGUGGCACUUUGUUUCUUUCUGAACUUCACCAAACUGUCGAAAAGAUAUGUGCACACCAGUCGGAUCACUACUUCCUAUGGCUUUUUUUUAAGGAUUAUCGAAGGAUUAGAUUUAAAGGAUUAGUAGCAGAGUCUCGUUAAUUUCUGGAUUAUAUGACGAAAACCAAAAUGGAUGUGAAUAAUCAAUCAACUGGUCGGAGGAAGUGUGGCAAGAAAGGUUAAUUAGAGUGAGUGCUUGUAGCUAACGGUGGAAUGAUUUGUGAUUUAUAAGCCACCGUGCGCCUCCACCAGAUUCCAGACGGUCAUGCUGUUUGGUAUGGAUGAAGGGUUUUGUUAAAUGCGGUCGGCAGUGUUAGGAUUUGCAGAACGCAGCAAAUUAUUGGCGCGGAAAAUCAUUUUUGGACCAUUCAACAGGUUUUCGAAACACUUUGGGGACUAGUAGCUAAUGGAACUUCUUUAAACGAGCUGAUACGAAUUGGACUGUUAGUUGAAAUACAGAUGCUCUGCAAGGAACGUUGACGCAUAUGAAAGCACACUCGAGUACCAAUAAACCUCACUCAGCGUGUGACUGGAUUUAAAAACGGUUGGCAAUGCAAACUUCUUGCUGAACAAUGAAAACACAUAUAAAAAAAUCCAUUGCCAAAGUGAAAACAUUAUUAUUUAUUAACGAAUUGAUUAAAUAAAAGAUCUUUUCUUCGUUAUCAGUGUAAAGUAAGGACAAGCGACAUUUGAAAAAAUCAAUGUUUUGUUUAAUUGUUUGGUUGGACAUUUGUAGGUUUAAUUGUUUGAUUUUAUAAAACCAAAUAAAACUAUACAAAAUAAGGAAAAAGCAUAUAUUAGGAGUUACAUACAAAUGAUGUCAGGAAAAAUGGAAAAAUUACACACUGCUUCCUUAUUAAGUAUGUCAAUAAAAAAUUGCAAUACC